AGAGCGCAAGGGGAAUGCCUUGGCACUGGGAGCCGACGAAGGACGUAGCGAUCUACGAUAAGCCACGGUGAGCCGAAAGCAGGCAUCGACCCGUGGAUUUCCGAAUGGGGCAACCUGGCUGAAUAGAACUCAGUCAACAUACGGUGAAUAAAAUAGUCGUAUGUAGGGAACCGCCUGAACUGAAACAUCUAAGUAGGGCGAGGAAAAGAAAUCAACCGAGAUUCCGCAAGUAGUGGCGAGCGAACGCGGAAGAGGCCAAACCGAGAGUAGUAAUACUUUCGGGGUUCGGACAGCGGACGGUAUGCUGAAGGUUAGCAGAAGGACAUGGGACGGUCCACCAAAGAGAGUGAGAGUCUCGUAUGCGAAAACUGAAAGCAGCCAGCUGAAUCCAGAGUACCGCCGGACACGUGAAACCCGGUGGGAAUAUGGGGGGACCAUCCUCCAAGCCUAAAUACUACCCAGUGACCGAUAGCGUAUAGUACUGUGAAGGAAAGGUGAAAAGAACCCCGGGAGGGGAGUGAAAAGAACCUGAAACCUUGUGCUUACAAGCACACAAAGCACGUCAACGUGUGAUGUGGUACCUUUUGUAGAAUGGUCCGGCGAGUGAAUGUAACUGGCGAGGUUAAGUUCUUAAGGAACGGAGCCGAAGCGAAAGCAAGUCUGAAUAGGGCGUCUUAGUCAGUUGUAUUCGACCCGAAACCGGGUGACCUAUCCAUGUCCAGGAUGAAGUUAAGGUAAAACUUGAUGGAGGUCCGAACCCACGGUCGUUGAAAUGCCCGGGGAUGAGAUGUGGAUAGCGGAGAAAUUCCAAUCGAACCCGGAUAUAGCUGGUUCUCUCCGAAAUAGCUUUAGGGCUAGCCUCGACUGAACAUUACCGGAGGUAGAGCACUGAAUGGGCUAGGGGCCGAGAGGUUACUGAACCCUAUCAAACUUCAAAUGCCGGAAAAUGAUAGUCGGGAGUCAGACUGCGUGAGAUAAGUUUCGUAGUCGAAAGGGAAACAGCCCAGACCCACAGCUAAGGUCCCAAAGUACGGUUAAGUGGAAAAGGAUGUGGAGUUGCACAGACAACCAGGAUGUUGGCUUAGAAGCAGCCACUCAUUAAAAGAGUGCGUAAUAGCUCACUGGUCGAGUGACUCUGCGCCGAAAAUUUAACGGGGCUAAAUCGUACACCGAAGCUUGGGAUGUAUCUAUGAUACAUGGUAGGAGAGCGUUGAAUGCGGGGUGAAGUCAGAGCGAAAGCGCUGGUGGACUGCAUUGAAGUGAGAAUGCCGGAAUGAGUAGCGAGAUUUAUGUGAGAAUCAUAAAGGCCGAAAGACUAAGGUUUCAGAAGGAAGGUUCGUCCGCUUCUGGUUAGCCGGGAGCUAAGGUGAGGCCGAAAGGCGUAGCCGAUGCACAUACGGUGGAGAUUCCGUAGCCGUCAAAAUAUUUAAGCAAAGGGACACUUAUGAAGGACAUGACCCGGGCGAUGGUAGCCCCGGGCGUAAGGGACUGAAAACAAGUAGGGAAGCAUGUUUGGAUUAAGGCGAGAAAAGCUUUGUGUAUAUAUUAGACGUCCGUACCGCAAACCGACACAGGUAGUCAGGAAGAGGAUUCUAAGGCCAACGGGAGAAGGGUAGUUAAGGAACUCGGCAAAUUGACCCCGUAACUUCGGGAUAAGGGGCGGUGCGCAAGCACCCGCAGUGAAUAGGUCCAGGCGACUGUUUAUCAAAAACACAGCUCUCUGCUAAAUCGAAAGAUGACGUAUAGGGGGUGACACCUGCCCGGUGCUGGAAGGUUAAGAGGAGGAGUGCAAGCUCCGAAUUGAAGCCCCAGUAAACGGCGGCCGUAACUAUAACGGUCCUAAGGUAGCGAAAUUCCUUGUCGGGUAAGUUCCGACCCGCACGAAUGGUGUAACGAUCUGGACGCUGUCUCAACUGCCCACCCGGCGAAAUUGUAGUACCGGUGAAGAUGCCGGUUACCCGCGGCAAGACGGAAAGACCCCAUGGAGCUUUACUGUAACUUGAUAUUGGGUCUUGGUAUUCUAUGUACAGGAUAGGCGGGAGACUAUGAAACAUACACGCCAGUGUGUGCGGAGUCACCCUUGGGAUACCGCUCUUAGAGUACUGAGAUUCUAACCUGCGGCCGUGAAUCCGGUCGGGGGACAUUGUCAGGUGGGCAGUUUGACUGGGGCGGUCGCCUCCUAAAAGGUAACGGAGGCGCUCAAAGGUUAGCUCAGCACGGUCGGAAACCGUGCCUCUGAGUGCAAACGCAAAAGCUAGCCUAACUGCGAGGCUGACGGGCCGAGCAGUAACGAAAGUUGGAGUUAGUGAUCCGGCGGUAUGUGAAUGGAAAUGCCGUCGCUCAACGGAUAAAAGCUACCCUGGGGAUAACAGGCUGAUCUCCCCCAAGAGUCCACAUCGACGGGGAGGUUUGGCACCUCGAUGUCGGCUCAUCACAUCCUGGGGCUGUAUUCGGUCCCAAGGGUUCGGCUGUUCGCCGAUUAAAGUGGUACGCGAGCUGGGUUCAGAACGUCGUGAGACAGUUCGGUCCCUAUCUGUCGUGGGCGCAGGAUAUUUGAGGAGUGCUGUCCUUAGUACGAGAGGACCGGGAUGGACGCACCUCUGGUGCACCAGUUGUCACGCCAGUGGCACAGCUGGGCAGCUAUGUGCGGAACGGAUAAACGCUGAAAGCAUCUAAGCGUGAAGCCGCCUCCAAGAUAAGAUAUCCCAUAGCAUAAGCUAGUAAGACCCCUCAUGGACUAAGAGGUUGAUAGGCUGCAUGUGUAAGCGCGGUGACGCGUUUAGCUUGGCAGUACUAAUAGGUCGAGGGCUUGACUU
rnacentral:rRNA from 1 species